rnacentral:rRNA from 1 species
UACGUAGGUGGCAAGCGUUGUCCGGAGUUAUUGGGCGUAAAGCGCGCGCAGGCGGUGCGGUAAGUCUCUGGUGAAAGCGCUCGGCUUAACUGGGCGAGGGCCGGGGAGACUGCCACGCUGGAGGGGAGCAGAGGCGAGUGGAAUUCCGGGUGUAGUGGUGAAAUGCGUAGAGAUCCGGAGGAACACCAGUGGCGAAGGCGGCUAGCUGGGCUCUACCUGACGCUGAGGCGCGAAAGCGUGGGGAGCGAACCGG